UGUGCCACUGAAGGACAAAGAAGACCCGGUAGUGGUCGCCGCUCGGCGUUACAAAGUAAACCCGAGAGGUUCGCUCCAAGCACAGUGCGCGUCUUUUUUCCUUUUACGAGCGCAACAAGCAGCUUUUCGCUGCUCACCAUAAUUAGACAACGACCCAGGCUGCUAACCCUCGUCGGCGCUGUCGGAGAUGGACGCGGAAGAUUCGUGGCGCCUGUUAAAAGAGCUGCUCGCCUCCCGCAUCGAACCGACCGCCAAGGCGACCUCCCGCAGCGUCCUGCACAAACUCGAAGAGCUGCGGAACGGAGUGAAAAGUCGGGAGGAGGAGAGCGAAGAGCUCAAGCACGAGGAGGGCGCCUUCGAUUACUACGUGGCUCUCAUCACGGAGGAGGCCGUCAUGUCGGCGGUGGAGAUUGUGAUGGCUGAGUCCGAAGCCUUUGUCAAGAAGCUGUGCACCGAUUACACGUCCAGAAUAUCCAGGUACGAGAAGGAGAUCGAGCGCUUCAAACAGCAGCUCGAGACACUCGGGGGAGAACUGGGACACGUCAGCUGGAAGGACCGGCGUUUCACUCGAUCGCCCUCCGCCAGCGGCAGCGGUGAUACGCCGUUUAACCCAAGCAGGGAUGCCGGGGCUGUUGGAGCCGAAGACGGGCCUGCCCGGCUGCAGUGGGCGUCGAGGAAAGCGGGCGACUGGAUCGGUCAGCGAGACAAACGCAAAGCGGACCCGGAGCUAUUGGGAUCCAUUCGAACGGACUCGAACUGGAGUUUGGCUGAUCAGGACCCUAAGAGAUCGGUGGCGUUCAGCAGCCAUAAAAAAGCAGAAGUGAGUGUAAGGAGCAGAAGGAGGAAAGGAACACCAGAGAGCAUUGUGGGAAUGGCACAUGCCAGCCUGGGCUUCUUGGAGUUGGGCAAUGAAAACGGAGAGAGAGCUCCCGACCUUAGCUUUUGGAAAUCCGAACGUGGAGCCACUAAGCAGGUGUCAAGUUUCUAUAAGGACGACGAUACUCAAGUGAACUCUGCCGAGAUGUCAGAUGAUAGUUUGAACCCAGCUUCCAGCAGUAAUAAUGAGGUGGAAUUUAAUAUUAAAGAGGAGGUCCUGGAAGUGGACCUUUUCCCCGGUACUAAAAAUCAGAAGCUGACCAAGGACUGUGCCAGUGAGGAAAUAUUCUCUGACUAUGAUGUCAAUGAAAGUGAGCAGGGAGCAGCCAUACAGGGUAGUCCAUCCUCAUCAUCAUGGCAGGAGCUUGGACCUGGAGGUGAGCAUGGAGACAAGGAAAGAGGUGGAAUUAAGCUAAUGCAGAGAGGAAUUAUGGAAAAGCUGAAGAAGGUCCAUGCUUUAGGCGAGCCUCACACUUCUGACAACAACCCAAAGACCUUCAGUAAAUCCCAUCCCCUUUCAAUACACCAGACGGUUCCUACUGAGCCUGAAAAACCAUUCCAAUGCACUCAGUGUGGAAAGUGUUUCAGGGAGGCUGCCCACCUUAAACUCCACCAAAGAACUCACUCAACUGCAAAAGUCUAUCAGUGUCCAGAAUGUGGGAAGACUUUCAACCAUUCUGGGAACUUCAGGGAACAUCAAAAAGUUCACACUGGUGAAAGACCAUACCAGUGUACCGAAUGUGGAAAGUGUUUUACCCAAGCUAUAGACCUUCGACGACACACAAGAACUCAUACGGGCGAAAAACCUUACCAGUGUACCGAAUGCGGGAAAUGCUUCAGCCAUUCAGUGAGCCUUAGGGAUCACCAGAGGACUCACACAGGAGAAAAACCGUACCACUGUGAUGUGUGUGGAAAGUGUUUCAGCCAGUCAUCCCACCUUAAGCUUCAUCAGAGGAUCCACACGGGAGAAAAACCAUACCAGUGCUCAGAGUGUGGAAAGACUUUCACAAAGGCAUCAAACCUUAAAGUCCACCAGAGAGUUCACACAGGAGAAAAACCAUAUCAGUGUACCGAAUGCGGAAAGACCUUCAGCCAGGGCAUAGACCUUCGGCGGCACCAGAAGGUUCAUUCGGGAGAAGCCAAAAGCAGAGAAGUUCGAAAAGAAUAGAUUGGUUCAGGUAGUCCUCACACAGUCAAGGCCUCUGUAAACUGCUAACUUAUUUAAGUUUUGAAGACCUCCAACAUGGUGAGCUUGAUCGUAAGAGAUCUCUACUAAUCUCCAAGAAACAUGAUAUGAACAGUGAAACAAAGAAUGGAAACUCGGACUGCUCCUGGCAAUGUCUAUUAAGGGAACUCUGAGAGGCCCAAUUUGACUCAUUACACGUGGCAGGUGACACAAGAAGCACAAUUUUCCGAGAACGAAAACAAUUUCCAUUCUGUGGUCCAACCUCGGUAAUACAUUUCAUGACCCUACUCUACCACAAAGGAAAUAUCAAGGCCACACAACCCUGAAUAACGAUGAAACUGAAGAGCACUCGGUAAGGUGAACUGCUCAGCUGCCAACGGAGGUUGCCAGUAUUUCAAUCACAGUGUGUCCUAUUAAUGUCAGUGGCGUUUUGUAUCAGGAGUCGUGGCCUCAAGCAAAUUUUACAAGACAAGGAGAAUGUCUUAGCUGAGAGUUUCCCUACCCAUGUGGCGGCACUCUCGAUUCACAGCGGCAGCAUUGCAGGUGGUUCACAGCCGAUCCUAUACGAUCUCGCCAACCUCCUGUCUGAUGAUCUUGUGUAAUAAAUCAAAGCACACAAGACAGAUGAAGAGUUGGGGAUCCUCCCCAUAUACUGGUCGUGGGUUCCAGUUCCAGGUAGGACAGUCAAAAGUAGCACAAAACAUACACAUUUGAGAACAAAGUAUGGUUUCUCAGAGCUUUUGUGGAGGGGGCUUAAUGACAACAGGAAAUAAUGAACUGACGCAAGUGACAUCAGAAAUAGAGCGACAGUUUUGAAGUCAUCAGAAGGAACCCGGAAGUGAUGUGAUUUGACUUAGCGAGACAAAGGUAUUCUUCAUGGGAGAUCGGAGUAGUUUCUUGCUGUCAGGACUUUUAUUCUGGCAUUUUCCAGCGGGUGUAAAGGAUAAAAGAGCAUUAGUGGCUUAUUCCAAGUCCCUGUUUCUCAUGGUUUCACAUGUGAAGGGCCAUUUGACUGUCCCCUAGUCAUGCGUGUGUGACACUGGCUUGAUUCGUCUAAUGCCCUGAUGAUCGUGCAGGACAAAACCCCCAGAUCCCCGGUGCUGACUGUCAUGUUUGAUUGACCAAAGAGGACCACCCCACUCCCCCAAAUUGGAAGCUGGUGCUUCAUUCUCAGUGGGUCAUAAUCGGACCUGCAUGUGAAAAACUGGGUCAUGACACUACAAAUGUUGGGAAACGGUGAUUUGGCUUAUUAACCUUAUGUUAACAUUGAGAUAUCGCAAGAAUCGGUACUUCUGUAUGAGGCCGAUACCACGCGUGACAGCAAGUAGGCGAGUUAUUUCAGAAGAAAAAACAAUACAUGAGAAAAAUGUGAUUUAAAAAUAUCUUUGAGUAGUUGUUACACAGCACCACACCACAUCAACAUGUCAGGAAGAAGAACCUCAGAAGUCAUUUCUGGAAACGCUUUAUGGUCGAGGCAGCAGAAUUUCAGUACCUGA